GUUGCUGUAAUGCGGGUUGUAGUUGAUGAAGACAAAGCCGCGCGCCUGGUCGAUGGCGUGAAACAGCGGGUUCCAGUCGAACAUCGCCAGCAUGAAAGCGGGCAGGGUGUUGGCGAGAAACAUCUUACCCGACGCAAUCAUGUUGGCGCGUUG
rnacentral:ncRNA from 1 species